GACGAACGCUGGCGGCGUGCUUAACACAUGCAAGUCGAACGGUGAAGCGCCUUCCUUUUUGGUGGGUGUGGAUGAGUGGCGAACGGGUGAGUAACACGUGAGUAACCUGCCCCCUUCUUCUGGAUAACCGCAUGAAAGUGUGGCUAAUACGGGAUAUUCUGGGUCUGUCGCAUGAUGGGUCUGGGAAAGAUAUUGUUUCGGUGGGGGAUGGGCUCGCGGCCUAUCAGCUUGUUGGUGGGGUGAUGGCCUACCAAGGCGGUGACGGGUAGCCGGCCUGAGAGGGUGGACGGUCACACUGGGACGGAGACACGGCCCAGACUCGUACGGGAGGCAGCAGUGGGGAAUAUUGCACAAUGGGCGCAAGCCUGAUGCAGCGACGCCGCGUGAGGGAUGGAGGCCUUCGGGUUGUGAACCUCUUUCGCCAGUGAAGCAGGACUGCCUCGUUUGUGGGUGGGUUGACGGUAGCUGGAUAAGAAGCGCCGGCUAACUACGUG
rnacentral:rRNA from 1 species